rnacentral:rRNA from 1 species
UACGGAGGGUGCAAACGUUGUUCGGAAUCAUUGGGCGUAAAGCGCACGCAGGCGGUUUAUCAGGUCGGAUGUGAAAUGCCGGGGCUCAACCCCGGAACUGCGUUCGAAACCGGUAAGCUGGAGUUUCGGAGGGAGAAGGGGAAUUCCUGGUGUAGGGGUGAAAUCCGUAGAGAUCAGGAGGAACACCGGCGGCGAAAGCGCCUUCUUGGACGAUGACUGACGCUGAGGUGCGGAAGCGUGGGGAGCAAACAGGAUUAGAUACCCUGGUAGUCCACGCCUUAAACGAUGUUCACUAGGUGGUGGGAGAAUCAACCCUCGCGCUGCCGUAGCUAACGCAUGAAGUGAACCGCCUGGGGAGUACGGUCGCAAGAUUAAA